rnacentral:rRNA from 1 species
CCUACGGGAGUCAGCAGUGAGGAAUAUUGGUCAAUGGACGAGAGUCUGAACCAGCCAAGUAGCGUGAAGGAUGACUGCCCUAUGGGUUGUAAACUUCUUUUAUAUGGGAAUAAAAUGUUCCCCGUGUGGGAUUUUGUAUGUACCAUAUGAAUAAGGAUCGGCUAACUCCGUGCCAGCAGCCGCGGUAAUACGGAGGAUCCGAGCGUUAUCCGGAUUUAUUGGGUUUAAAGGGAGCGUAGGUGGAUUGUUAAGUCAGUUGGAAAAGUUUGCGGCUAAACCGUAAAAUUGCAGUUGAAACUGGCAGUCUUAAGUAAAGUAGGGUAGGGCGGAAUUCGUGGUGUAGCGGUGAAAUGCUUAGAUAUCACGAAGAACUCCGAUUGCGAAGGCAGCUCACUGAACUGCAACUGACACUGAGGCUCGAAAGUGUGGGUAUCAAACAGGAUUAGAUACCCUGUAGUC